AUUGAACGCUGGCGGCAUGCCUAACACAUGCAAGUCGAGCGGAUGAAGGGAGCUUUCUCCUGGAUUCAGCGGCGGACGGGUGAGUAAUGCCUAGGAAUCUGCCUGGUAUUUGGGGAUAACGUCCGUAAACGGGCGCUAAUACCGCAUACGUCCUGAGGUAGAAAGUGGGGGAUCUUCGGACCUCACGCUAUCAGAUGAGCCUAGGUCGGAUUAGCUAGUUGGUGGGGUAAAGGCCUACCAAGGCGACGAUCCGUAACUGGUCUGAGAGGAUGAUCAGUCACACUGGAACUGAGACACGGUCCAGACUCCUACGGGAGGCAGCAGUGGGGAAUCUUCGGCAAUGGGCGAAAGCCUGAUCCAGCCAUGCCGCGUGUGUGAAGAAGGUCUUCGGAUUGUAAAGCACUUUAAGUUGGGAGGAAGGGAAGUAAGUUAAUACAUUGCUGUUUUGACGUUACCAACAGAAUAAGCACCGGCUAACUUCGUG
rnacentral:rRNA from 1 species